AGAGUUUGAUCCUGGCUCAGAUUGAACGCUGGCGGCAGGCCUAACACAUGCAAGUCGAACGGUAACAGGAAGCAGCUUGCUUUUUUGCUGACGAGUGGCGGACGGGUGAGUAAUGUCUGGGAAACUGCCUGAUGGAGGGGGAUAACUACUGGAAACGGUAGCUAAUACCGCAUAACGUCGCAAGACCAAAGAGGGGGACCUUCGGGCCUCUUGCCAUCGGAUGUGCCCAGAUGGGAUUAGCUAGUAGGUGGGGUAACGGCUCACCUAGGCGACGAUCCCUAGCUGGUCUGAGAGGAUGACCAGCCACACUGGAACUGAGACACGGUCCAGACUCCUACGGGAGGCAGCAGUGGGGAAUAUUGCACAAUGGGCGCAAGCCUGAUGCAGCCAUGCCGCGUGUAUGAAGAAGGCCUUCGGGUUGUAAAGUACUUUCAGCGGGGAGGAAGGGAGUAAAGUUAAUACCUUUGCUCAUUGACGUUACCCGCAGAAGAA
rnacentral:rRNA from 1 species